UAUUCGACUUAUAGAAUCUUCAAUGCGAUAGAACCAUCUCGAAUUCGAUUUCGUCGGAGUCGAAAGUUUUUCGAGAGAUUACGAGAGUUGAAGAGAAAAAAGAAAAAUUUGGACGAGUCCCUGGAGAAUACGAGACUGAGCGUAUAUAUCUAAGAUAAAGAGGUACCACUAAAUUUAUGAGUUACGAGUUUGUACAAGUAUAAAACAUCGCGUUAUAAUAAAAUUGGAAGCAUUAUCGUGGAUAAAAUGUUCACUGCGAUUCUGCAAAUAUAAAAUCGUGAUCGUAUCUUUUUCAUUUUGGAACUGUUCUCUUCAUUUCGAGUAUACAAUACAAAUACUUUUAUUAUUGAAAAGAAUAUAAAUGAUAUCGACGAUAAUGCGAUGACGUGUGCUUUUUUACAUAUAUAUAUAUAUAUGUAUUGGGAUCGAUACGUAUCAGGAUUUAAUAAACGCUGCUGCUUGUCUCGCUUUUAUUCAUUCGAAAUACAUAGGAAUAACAUAUUAAUGUAUAAAUAAAUUAUAUAUAUAUAUAUAUAUGUAUGUAUAUAUAUAUAAUAUUCAAUACAUGCAUGCACACGUAUUUUGGUAAUGGAUGCUUUACAAUAAUAUGAUACAAUUCGUUCGUUCAUAAUUUCUCGACGUAUGACAUCGUAUUGUUUGCCGAUAUUUGCUGAAAAUGGACUUUCUUUAUCCGAUCAAUGAGGACAUUCGAAAGUCAUGCUUGUGUGAAUAAUGAAGACUGACAGGACAAAUAUUAUACGCAAAUUGCUAUCCCGAACCGAUACGUCUCUCCGUCUGUACGGAAGAAACGCGACGAGGUCGACCAGGGAAAAUAGGAGUAUGCAUUUUUAUGUGAGAUUAAACGGCUACGUUCUCAAAAAGAUUUGACGUAACCAAGAAAUAUGAGAAUAGAAAAAAGAAAAGAAAUAAUAAUUUCUUGAAAGUAUGAUAACGAAGAUAAAUGAAGGAUGAAUCAGCGGAGAAAGAGGAACGUAAUCCGGGAGUAAGUUCGUUCGAGGUUUUAACUGUCACGCGUGCUUCCCCUUGAUAGUCGAUUAACCAGAAUGCUCGCGAAUCACGAUUUAUACGGGAAACGCUCCACGAAAUUAUGGCCUCUCGGAUUUCCGUAAUGCCAAGAUUUGCUGCUCUUGAAGCCACCUAAUCCAAGCGCAUGCCGGAAGAUCCUCUUAUCUUAGGGCCACGUUCUUCGAGGAAGGAGAAAAGGGGAGGAAGGUUGGCCUGGAAAGGCAAGAAAGUAAGACGAUUACUUUAGGCGUAGUGCAACGUAAAAACUCUUAAGCAAGGGGGAACAUUACGCGAACGAGUAUACCUUUAAUUAUACUUUAUAUUACCAAGAAUCUUACAACGUCUCGCAAGCCGGAAGGCAAUUACGCAGAAGCCUCCUCUCCUCGCUCGAAUAACUCCUCUUCGAAUCCUUCGAAGGGAUAUCCAUAAUCGUGAAUUCCCAGCCGCGUCCGUUCUCUUUUCUUUUUAUUUUUUAUUCUUUUUCCUUUCAAGCCAGACGUCGAAGAAAUCAGGCCGGUCCGUAAUUUCAGAAAUAGCUAUCGGAACUGCUAAGUUCUCGUGGCGUUCUCCCAAGAAAACAAAAGUUCGGAGACGCCCUGUGAGAGAACUCUGGCAAUUUCUGGCUCGUCCUGUCCAAGGUGAACGAGUAGCCACCUGCUAGAUUACGAUCCUGACAGUAUAACCUUCGGAAUCGUAUUAUCUAUCGGUAGACGAUCCCAAUCCGAAUGACUUAUCGCGAAAGGGAUAUUUCUCGAUCUCACCUAGAUCUCAUCGACAUCGAUAAUCCAUCGAUGAGUUCUCCGAAGAAAAAUCUAUGAACAAUAUAAUCCCUUCGAUUAAUGCAAAUUCCGUCGUCAUAAUUUAACGUCAAAUGUAUUAAUAUAAAAUAUCCUAUCGUCAGACGAUCGGUAGUGUCGAUUUCGAAAGACCAUUCUUCGGAGAAUCGGUGUCUCGUAAGUAAGAAACCACACAUUCCACGAAUUUAUUUUUAAAAGAUGGAUCUUAAUUCUCUUUAAUCCUGUUACCAGAAAAUACCUAAUAUGAAAUAUCCAGACGUUUCGCCGAUGCACGCGAUCACGAUUUCGUUCUUGAUCGAUCGAUUGAUCGACUUAGACAUAAGUAGACGUUUUCUUCUUUUCCGACCACAGAAUAUCGAAUAACUAGAUCCUCUUAAGACGCGUGCUUGUUCUCAAGAUGCGAAUACUAAAUAAAAGGAUGAGUUCAAAUGUCUUAUUUUGUCUCUCUCUUUCCCUCUCUCUCUCUCUCUCUUUCUAUCGUCCCUUCUUUUUGUAAAAAUAUUAGGAAGUAUAAUAAUCGAACUGUCAGAAAGAUAAAGAUACUUGAAAAAUAUUAAAUGAUCUAAAAAGGGUAGUUUUUACCUUCUACUAAAUUUCAAAAAGGCUAUUGAAGUCGUCCUAUCUUCAGAAGCAGAAAAGUAAUAUCGAUUUUGAGCUACAUAUUCCCAGCCUGAUUUCAGAUUCCACUGUAUCUCGUUUAAAUCUUUUCCUUUUAAGAUAAGAUAAUCGGAUUAAGUGUACCCCAUCGAUAUAAUAAAAUUUACUCUAUCGUAGCAUCCGGAUGAAUUUUCACGGGACUUAAAAUUAUUACUGUCAAAGUCGCAACGGGUCAAUCAUUGUUUUGUCUAAGACAAUUUAAGACGAUUUUACAUCGUUCUCUUUAAAAUCAAUAAAUAGCUUUAAGUGGAACAAAAGAGAGAUAGAAAAAGAAAGAGAGAGAGAGAGAGAAAAAAAAAAAGAAAAUCGGUAAGUACUUUUUUUAGAAUUUUCCUUCUUGAUAGGUUCGUCGAGCGAAUAGCGGCUCUUUUAGGAAAGGUAAGUCUGCUGAUGCAUCUUAUGUCAGAAUUUUCUUCGAAGCAUCAAAUCAAAGAUCGAUUCGACGGCAUUACUCGACGUAGAUGUAGAGGGAGAGUCCUUAACACCAAGCUACUUGAUUUACUGCUUCCUCUCGUAUGGAUCUCGUCGUUGCUGCCGCAGCUGCAGCAGCAGCAGCAGAGGCAGCAUAGAGGCAUCUGCGGUAGAAGUCAGAGAGAGAGAGAGAGAGAGAGAGAGAGAGAAACAGAAGCAGGAACGAAGACAGGAGAGGACCAUUUCAACGUAGAAUUGUGCUGAGUUCGUGCGGGCAAGGCAACGUACGAGUGAUUUGCAUGCGAGCGAGCUGUGAGAAAGAGACAAGGAUAUCACGAGAGAUAUGAGAGAGAGGUGAGAGAGAGAGAGGGAGAGUGAAAGAUAUAACAGGGCGGUUAAGCCACUCGACGCCGUGCUGUGUCCGACCGGCUCGGUGGACGAUAAUUAACAGGUUCCGUAAACGCUGUACGAAAUCGACGAAUCUGAGUUCCUUUCUACUUCCAAUACAAACUCCCUUCUACGUUAGUAUCCGAAUAGAGGCCGCGCGAACGAAGAGUGUUUACGAUUCGUUAUUGCCAUGUUCCCAACAAUAAAUUUCAAGCCUCCGAGCCACCGCGGUCAGCUUUAGCACCGACUACGAAUCACGGAUUAUACUCUGGAUAUGUUAUAUAUCACCUCUUUCUGUCAUCUACAACAGAAAAAGACAGAGAGAAAGAGAGAGACAAAAUGAGAGAGAGAGAGAGAGAGAGAGAAAGAGAGAAUGAGAGUGAGAAAAAGAGAGAGAGAGAAUUGUUGCCAGACAAUUGUUAUGUGAUCAUACUGUGGUAACGUUUAUAUAUAUACUCGUUGUACAUCAGACGUGUUACUAUCCUUGACAAACGACGGAAAACAUUUCGUGUAACUUUCGUUAACUUGUCUUUCCUUUACAAUUAUUUAAUGUCUAGGAAUAUCUAAGUGAUUCUUAAUGCAAAUUCAUCGGUGCUAAGCUGCAAAAUGUUUCGUAAUGUUUCAUUGAAUUUUUUAAUAAAGAUAUGUGGAAAAUUU